CACUAAAUGGCUGACAAAUAGUAUUGAAUUUUUAAUUCAAAAAUGGUGAAAACCUUUGGUGA
rnacentral:tRNA from 1 species